CCUACGGGAGGCAGCAGUGGGGAAUUUUGGACAAUGGGCGCAAGCCUGAUCCAGCAAUGCCGCGUGAGUGAAGAAGGCCUUCGGGUUGUAAAGCUCUUUUGUCAGGGAAGAAACGGUGGGGGCUAAUAUCCUCCACUAAUGACGGUACCUGAAGAAUAAGCACCGGCUAACUACGUGCCAGCAGCCGCGGUAAUACGUAGGGUGCAAGCGUUAAUCGGAAUUACUGGGCGUAAAGCGUGCGCAGGCGGUUUUGUAAGUCUGUCGUGAAAGCCCCGGGCUCAACCUGGGAAUUGCGAUGGAGACUGCAAGGCUUGAAUCUGGCAGAGGGGGGUAGAAUUCCACGUGUAGCAGUGAAAUGCGUAGAGAUGUGGAGGAACACCGAUGGCGAAGGCAGCCCCCUGGGUCAAGAUUGACGCUCAUGCACGAAAGCGUGGGGAGCAAACAGGAUUAGAUACCCUGGUAGUCCACGCCCUAAACGAUGUCUACUAGUUGUCGGGUUUUAAUUAACUUGGUAACGCAGCUAACGCGUGAAGUAGACCGCCUGGGGAGUCGGUCGCAAGAUUAAACUUNAAAGUGAGUUAGAGNGNGNGNGNGCGAGCGACGACGAGGAGAG
rnacentral:rRNA from 1 species